AGAACGAACGCUGGCGGCAGGCCUCAAACAUGCAAGUCUAGGGGGUGUAGCAAUACAUCACCGGCGGACGGGUGCGUAACACGUGGGAAUAUACCUUUUGGUUCGGAACAACGCAGGGAAACUUGCGCUAAUACCGAAUGUGCCCUUACGGGGAAAGAUUUAUCGCCAAAGGAUUAGCCCGCGUAGGAUUAGCUAGUUGGUGAGGUAAUGGCUCACCAAGGCUCCGAUCCUUAGCUGUUCUGAGAGGAAGAUCAGCCACACUGGGACUGAGACACGGCCCAGACUCCUACGGGAGGCAGCAGUUGGGAAUCUUGGACAAUGGGGGAAACCCUGAUCCAGCCAUGCCGCGUGAGUGAUGAAGGCCUUCGGGUUGUAAAACUCUUUCGACGGGACGAUAAUGACGGUACCCGUAGAAGAAGCUCCGGCUAACUUCGUGCCAGCAGCCGC
rnacentral:rRNA from 2 species